rfam:Nippostrongylus brasiliensis genome assembly, scaffold: NBR_scaffold0004566
UGGGCGGAUAGGAACCAGUUAACCCUUGUGGGUUACUUGGGCCGUAAACCGCCAAGAUCAUAACUUCACACUAAAGGUCGUAUGUGCAUCCCUUUGGAGCAUGUAUAUUACCAUUGUGAAUCACAUCU